GGGUUGUGAGGUUAAGCGAAUAAGCGUACACGGUGGAUGCCUAGGCAAUCAGAGGCGAUGAAGGACGUGCUAAUCUGCGAAAAGCGUCGGUAAGGUGAUAUGAACCGUUAUACCCGACGAUAUCCGAAUGGGGAAACCCAGUAUCCAAUGGAUACUAUCAUUAACUGAAUUCAUAGGUUAAUGAGGCGAACCGGGAGAACUGAAACAUCUCAGUACCCCGAGGAAAAGAAAUCAACCGAGAUUCCCCUAGUAGCGGCGAGCGAACGGGGAGCAGCCCAGAGUCUUAAUCAAUGGCAGUGUCAGGAGAACGGUCUGGAAAGUCCGGCAGUAAAGGGUGAUAGCCCCGUAUCUGAAGAUGCUGUUAUUGUGAACUCGACGAGUAGGGCGGGACACGUGUUAUCCUGUCUGAAUAUGGGGGGACCAUCCUCCAAGGCUAAAUACUCCUGAUUGACCGAUAGUGAACCAGUACCGUGAGGGAAAGGCGAAAAGAACCCCGGCGAGGGGAGUGAAAAAGAACCUGAAACCGUGUACGUACAAGCAGUAGGAGCCCCAUCACUCAAGUGCCUCGCACUGAGUGAUGCAAUAACAUCACCGAAAAUAGCGUAGCAUUUGCUAACAAGGUUGGUCGAUUUUUUCAAGCCGUCGCGCAGUGUACCUAGAAGUACACGAGCAACGGAAGUUAAAAAAUCGGGCAAGAUUGAACGCAAAGGCAAGCGGGACAUUUGAGGAUGGGGUGACUGCGUACCUUUUGUAUAAUGGGUCAGCGACUUAUAUUCUGUAGCAAGGUUAACCGUAUAGGGGAGCCGUAGGGAAACCGAGUCUUAACUGGGCGAAUGAGUUGCAGGGUAUAGACCCGAAACCCGGUGAUCUAUCCAUGGGCAGGUUGAAGGUUGGGUAACACUAACUGGAGGACCGAACCGACUAAUGUUGAAAAAUUAGCGGAUGACUUGUGGAUGGGGGUGAAAGGCCAAUCAAACCGGGAGAUAGCUGGUUCUCCCCGAAAGCUAUUUAGGUAGCGCCUCGUGAACUCAUCUUCGGGGGUAGAGCACUGUUUCGACUAGGGGGUCAUCCCGACUUACCAACUCGAUGCAAACUGCGAAUACCGAAGAAUGUUAUCACGGGAGACACACGGCGGGUGCUAACGUCCGUCGUGAAGAGGGAAACAACCCAGACCGCCAGCUAAGGUCCCAAAGUCAUGGUUAAGUGGGAAACGAAGUGGGAAGGCUCAGACAGCCAGGAUGUUGGCUUAGAAGCAGCCAUCAUUUAAAGAAAGCGUAAUAGCUCACUGGUCGAGUCGGCCCGCGCGGAAGAUGUAACGGGGCUAAACCAUGCACCGAAGCUGCGGCAGCGACACAAUGUGUUGUUGGGUAGGGGAGCGUUCUGUAAGCCUGCGAAGGUGUACUGUGAGGUAUGCUGGAGGUAUCAGAAGUGCGAAUGCUGACAUAAGUAACGAUAAUGCGGGUGAAAAACCCGCACGCCGGAAGACCAAGGGUUCCUGUCCAACGUUAAUCGGGGCAGGGUGAGUCGACCCCUAAGGCGAGGCUGAAAAGCGUAGUCGAUGGGAAACGGGUUAAUAUUCCCGUACUGGUGGUAACUGCGAUGGGGGAACGGAGAAGGCUAGGUUGUCCGGGCGACGGUCGUCCCGGUUCAAGCAGGUAGGCAGAGUGAUUAGGCAAAUCCGGUCACUUAAUGCUGAGAUGUGAUGACGAACCACCAAGGUGGUGAAGCAAUUGAUGCCCCGCUUCCAGGAAAAGCCUCUAAGCUUCAGGUUACCAACAAUCGUACCCCAAACCGACACAGGUGGUCAGGUAGAGAAUACUCAGGCGCUUGAGAGAACUCGGGUGAAGGAACUAGGCAAAAUGGUGCCGUAACUUCGGGAGAAGGCACGCUGGCGGUAGGUAAAGUCCCUCGCGGACAGAGCUGAAGCCAGUCGAAGAUACCAGCUGGCUGCAACUGUUUAUUAAAAACACAGCACUGUGCAAACACGAAAGUGGACGUAUACGGUGUGACGCCUGCCCGGUGCUGGAAGGUUAAUUGAUGGGGUUAGCGCAAGCGAAGCUCCUGAUCGAAGCCCCAGUAAACGGCGGCCGUAACUAUAACGGUCCUAAGGUAGCGAAAUUCCUUGUCGGGUAAGUUCCGACCUGCACGAAUGGCGUAAUGAUGGCCAGGCUGUCUCCACCCGAGACUCAGUGAAAUUGAACUCGCUGUGAAGAUGCAGUGUACCCGCGGCAAGACGGAAAGACCCCGUGAACCUUUACUAUAGCUUGACACUGAACAUUGAGCCUUGAUGUGUAGGAUAGGUGGGAGGCUUUGAAGUGUGGACGCCAGUCUGCAUGGAGCCAACCUUGAAAUACCACCCUUUAACGUUUGAUGUUCUAACCUAGGCCCGUGAUCCGGGUCGGGGACCGUGUCUGGUGGGUAGUUUGACUGGGGCGGUCUCCUCCUAAAGAGUAACGGAGGAGCACGAAGGUUGGCUAAGCAUGGUCGGACAUCAUGCGGUUAGUGCAAAGGCAUAAGCCAGCUUGACUGCGAGAGUGACGGCUCGAGCAGGUACGAAAGUAGGUCUUAGUGAUCCGGUGGUUCUGAAUGGAAGGGCCAUCGCUCAACGGAUAAAAGGUACUCCGGGGAUAACAGGCUGAUACCGCCCAAGAGUUCAUAUCGACGGCGGUGUUUGGCACCUCGAUGUCGGCUCAUCACAUCCUGGGGCUGAAGUAGGUCCCCAAGGGUAUGGCCUGUUCGCCAUUUAAAGUGGUACGCGAGCUGGGUUUUAGAACGUCGUGAGACAGUUCGGUCCCUAUCUGCCGUGGGCGUUGGAAGAUUGAGAGGGGUUGCUCCUAGUACGAGAGGACCGGAGUGAACGCACCACUGGUGUUCGGGUUGUCAUGCCAAUGGCAUUGCCCGGUAGCUAAGUGCGGAAGAGAUAACCGCUGAAAGCAUCUAAGCGGGAAACUUGCCUCGAGAUGAGUCUUCCCUGUCGCUUAAAGCGACCUAAAGGAACGUUUAAGACGAAGACGUUGAUAGGCUGGGUGUGUAAGCGUAGCGAUACGUUGAGCUAAUCAGUACUAAUGAACCGUGAGGCUUAACCUGACAACACCGAAGGUGUUU
rnacentral:rRNA from 1 species